GUCAGACUAAAGGGAAACCCAACUCAUCAAAUGAACUCCACUUGGGUCGCAAUGAAAUAUUGCAAAGCUACAAAUUAAAUGAGCAUCGAGAAGACAAUGCACUCAGAUAAUGGAAUCACCACAGAAACAGAAAAUAAGGCCUAAAAGGCAAGUAAAAUCGUUAAAUACUUUUUUAGUAGGAAUUCUAUUUAGAUAAAUUAGAUUUGAUUAGAUAAACGCUCGAACUUUUCUUUUGUUUCAAUGAAUCGUAGAUCAACUUAUUUAUUUGAUUUGAAAAUGUUUUUGAAAAAAAAAAUAGAAACAACAAGAAUCCUAAGAAGAUUUAUUAUUUCAGCAGUGAAACGAAAAAUGGAAGAAUGGGCAGUGUAAGAAGCUAAUGAGAUCCUGAUUAUUUUACAAACUGUCAGGCGACCCAGUUCAUAGGGAGGAUAUCUUGUUGAGGGACUGCUAUGGGGAAUAGGGAAGGUGCAUUAAUGGCGCCACAAAGAAUUGUUGUUGCUUAAUGAUGAAAGCUUAUGGGAAUGAUGGAAAGGUUGCGGCAGGGAGCGGCGAAGGG
rnacentral:lncRNA from 1 species